AGAUUUUGUGCUCUCUUAUCCUUAAGGCUUUUUGAAUCCAAAGAAAAACAAUGAUUUCUUGUAGCCCAGCCCCAUUACAAGCUUAAGAAAGACCUUAGUAAUUCAUGAUUGAUAACAUGUCUUGUGAUUAUGUUGAGAUGUAUGUUUGAAUUGAUUUGUUGUGAACACAUUGCUUGGAUUGAGAGAAACACUACACCCUUGAGUAGAAACACUUGUGAGAAUUGUGAUUCUAGUUGAUUAUCUUGUUGAUUUGGAAAGCUUG
rnacentral:lncRNA from 1 species